rnacentral:rRNA from 1 species
CACGUAGGGCGCAAGCGUUGUCCGGAAUUAUUGGGCGUAAAGAGCUCGUAGGCGGCCUGUUGCGUCCGCUGUGAAAUCCCGGGGCUUAACCCCGGGCGUGCAGUGGAUACGGGCCGGCUGGAGGCAGGCAGGGGAGAAUGGAAUUCCCGGUGUAGCGGUGAAAUGCGCAGAUAUCGGGAGGAACACCGGUGGCGAAGGCGGUUCUCUGGGCCUGUACUGACGCUGAGGAGCGAAAGCGUGGGGAGCGAACAGG